AGGACCUGCUGAACUUGGGGUCGUAUGGAAAACACUGAUGGCCCACCCCAAAAGUGGCCCUGGUCUUGAUGCCUGCAUCAGCCUCAGCCAUCUCAAGACCACAACAAGAACACAGCCAAGUUAGAGAAGAAAGACCAAAAGCACUGGGGCCCUUCGUGUUAUUAAGCUGCUAAAUUAACUAAUCUUGGAAAUUUCUAGACUCAACAAUUCUUGUUGUAUGAGAGUGGGUUUACACUUAUUCUCUGGACUUUUUGAUAACCAAGAACUUCUGGCAACUAACCCUGGCAUGGCCACCAGAAUCUACAGGGUUGAGAGAGGGAAAGAAAGGCAAAAGUGGAUGUAUGUAGCUGAAGAUGUUAUAUAACUCCUAUCACAUUCCAAGUGCUAUGUUGAUAUCUGGAGGUAUAGACAAGAUUGAAGCAGAUGCAGAGUCUUUCACAUGAAUAUUUGAAUUAGGAA